rnacentral:rRNA from 1 species
AGAACGAACGCUGGCGGCGUGGAUAAGACAUGCAAGUCGAACGCGACUUAUCUUGUUAGCAAUAACAGGGUAAGUUGAGUGGCGAAAGGGUGCGUAACACGUGGGAAUUUACCAAGAAGUGGGGAAUAGCUCGACGAAAGUCGAAUUAAUACCGCAUAUGAUCGCAAGAUCAAAGCCGGGGACCGCAAGGCCUGGCGCUUUUUGAGAAGCCCGCGGCCCAUCAGCUAGUUGGCGGGGUAACGGCCCACCAAGGCUAUGACGGGUAGCUGGUCUGAGAGGACGACCAGCCACACUGGAACUGAGACACGGUCCAGACACCUACGGGUGGCAGCAGUCGAGAAUUUUUCACAAUGGACGAAAGUCUGAUGGAGCGACGCGCGUGAGGAUGAAGGUUUCGGAUUGUAACUCCUGUCACUGCAGAACAAGGAUGCGUUUAUGAAUAGUAAAUGCUA